rnacentral:lncRNA from 1 species
AGGGAACCGGGAAGAAAGGGCAGGGCGGAUGUGCUCGUGCCCGUGUUUGGCGCUUGAGCGAGGGCGCGCCGGUGCGCGCGCAGGAGGGAGGCCAGCGGGGCGGCCGUUGUCGGGUUCGACAGGAGGGGCGGUGAAGUCACCUGCGAGCGUUCGCGCCCGUCGCGUCCCCGUCGCGCCGGCCUCGCGGGGCCCCACACACCGUGCGAAGCUGGGGCCCGGGCACAGGCAGAGUCCGCGGCUGGAGUCGGCGACGAGGACGAGUCGCAGCCUCGGCGCCGCCGCCCGCGCCGGGCCGGCAAAGGCCUGGCUUCCAUGGCUUGCAUCUGACUCAAGUUUCUACACCGCAGUGCUCAGAGCCACCCGUCUUCAGCCUGUCUCCACUUGACACACACAGAAUUUCCUGUCGCUGUAGCCUGAGAACAGUUUGGGUCUGUUUGCCAUGGCUUACUAUCUGAGAAGUCCUGGGCUUAAGGCAGUGAAGGAGGUAAUUAUAUUUUAUGUAAACAAGCAUAUUUUUAUUUUAGCAGCACGGGUGGAGUAUAGACAGAGAGGGGGAAGUACUGAUGGCUGAAGAGAUUUACAAGAGGACAAAGAACAGGAAGUGUAUCUCAUUUCCCCUUCUCAGUGGUGACUACUAAUUUCUCUAGAAGUCUCUCUUGGUUGUGAGCCCAAGCCUUUCAUGGCUGAACCAACUCGCAGCCCUCCAGAAGUCUCUUUUAAUGGCAUGUAUUUGAAAUGUUUUGUUACAAAAAUAAAAGAAAAACUGCCAGGGUCCA